UUUGUUAAAGGUCUUGGACUUGUUGAUUUGUCAAAAAUCUCUUAAUGAGCAUCUUGCAUCUUUUUCUUAUAUAGGUAUUCUAUAUCAAGAUCUCCAAUACCUUUUGAUUACAAGGUCAAAGGUCAAUGUCACAGUGAGAAUUACUGAAUAGAAUUUUAACUAAGUUUGGAACAAUAGUUACUAUGAGAUCCCACAUAAGUUUUG
rnacentral:lncRNA from 1 species